AGCGAACGCUGGCGGCAGGCCUAACACAUGCAAGUCGAACGAACUCUUCGGAGUUAGUGGCGGACGGGUGAGUAACACGUGGGAACGUGCCUGUAGGUUCGGAAUAACUCAGGGAAACUUGUGCUAAUACCGAAUGUGCCCUUCGGGGGAAAGAUUUAUCGCCUUUAGAGCGGCCCGAGUCUGAUUAGCUAGUUGGUGAGGUAACGUCUCACCAAGGCGACGAUCAGUAGCUGGUCUGAGAGGAUGACCAGCCACACUGGGACUGAGACGCGGCCCAGACUCCUACGGGAGGCAGCAGUGGGGAAUCUUGCGCAAUGGGCGAAAGCCUGACGCAGCCAUGCCGCGUGAAUGAUGAAGGUCUUAGGAUUGUAAAAUUCUUUCACCGGGGACGAUAAUGACGGUACCCGGAGAAGAAGCCCCGGCUAACUUCGUGCCAGCCGCCGCCGUAA
rnacentral:rRNA from 1 species